UUCCGGUUGAUCCUGCCGGAGGCUACCGCUAUUGGAGUUCGAUUAAGCCAUGCGAGUCGAGAGUCUUAGGGACUCGGCGCACCGCUCAGUAACACGUGGGUAACCUGCCCUAUGCUGGGGGAUAACCUCGGGAAACUGAGAAUAAUACCCCAUAGUUCACCACGCCUGGAACGGUGGGUGGAUCAAAGCUCCGGCGGCAUAGGAUGGGCCUGCGACGUAUCAGGUUGUAGGGGGUGUAACGUACCCUCUAGCCAUCAACGCGUACGGGUGUUGGGAGACAUAGCCCGGAGAUGGAUUCUGAGACACGAAUCCAGACCCUACGGGGUGCAGCAGGCGCGAAAACUUGGCAAUGCGAGCAAUCGUGACCAGGGAACUCCAAGUGGCUGGGGUAAUACCCAGUUUUUUCUUGACUCUUCAAAGGUCUUGGAAUAAGGGGUGGGUAAGGACGGUGCCAGCCGCCGCGGUAAUACCGGCGCCUCAAGUGGUAGUCGCUUUUAUUGGGCCUAAAACGUCCGUAGCCGGUUUGGUACAUUCGUGGGUAAAUCAAGGCGCUCAACGUCUUGAAUUCUGCGAGCACGGCCAGACUUGGGACCGGGUGAGGUGUGGGGUACUCUCAGGGUAGGGGUAAAAUCCUGUCAUCCUGAGAGGACCACCUGUUGCGAAGGCGCCACACUAGAACGGAUCCGACGGUCAGGGACGAAGCCUAGGGGCACGAACCGGAUUAGAUACCCGGGUAGUCCUAGGUGUAAACGCUGUGGACUUGAUGUUGGGAGUGCUCCGAGCACCCUCAGUGUCGAAGCGAAGGUGAUAAGUCCACUGCCUGGGGAGUACGGUCGCAAGGCUGAAACUUAAAGGAAUUGGCGGGGGAGCACUGCAACCUGAGGAUUGUGCGGUUUAAUUGGAGUCAACGCCGG
rnacentral:rRNA from 1 species